rnacentral:rRNA from 1 species
CCAGUAGUCAUAUGCUUGUCUCAAAGAUUAAGCCAUGCAUGUCUCAGUACAAGCCAAAUUAAGGUGAAACCGCGAAAGGCUCAUUAAAUCAGUUAUGGUUCCUUAGAUCGUACCCACAUUUACUUGGAUAACUGUGGUAAUUCUAGAGCUAAUACAUGCAAACAGAGCUCCGACCGGAGACGGAAGGAGCGCUUUUAUUAGAUCAAAACCAAUCGGUGGCGGGUCUCCCGUCACCGUACACCUUGGUGACUCUGAAUAACUUAUUGCUGAUCGCACGGUCUCGCACCGGCGACGCAUCUUUCAAAUGUCUGCCUUAUCAACUGUCGAUGGUAGGUUCUGCGCCUACCAUGGUUGUAACGGGUAACGGGGAAUCAGGGUUCGAUUCCGGAGAGGGAGCCUGAGAAACGGCUACCACAUCCAAGGAAGGCAGCAGGCGCGCAAAUUACCCACUCCCGGCACGGGGAGGUAGUGACGAAAAAUAACGAUACGGGACUCAUCCGAGGCCCCGUAAUCGGAAUGAGUACACUCUAAACCCUUUAACGAGGAUCAAUUGGAGGGCAAGUCUGGUGCCAGCAGCCGCGGUAAUUCCAGCUCCAAUAGCGUAUAUUAAAGUUGUUGCGGUUAAAAAGCUCGUAGUCGAAUUUGUGUCCCGCGCCGCCGGUUCAUCGCUCGCGGUGUCAACUGGCGUGUCCGCGGGACGUCCUGCCGGUGGGCUUAGCCCCCCGUGGGCGGCCCAAUCUCAAUCCCACCGCGGUGCUCUUCACUGAGUGUCGAGGUGGGCCGGCACGUUUACUUUGAACAAAUUAGAGUGCUUAAAGCAGGCUAAAACAUCGCCUGAAUACUGUGUGCAUGGAAUAAUGGAAUAGGACCUCGGUUCUAUUUUGUUGGUUUUCGGAAACCCGAGGUAAUGAUUAAUAGGAACGGAUGGGGGCAUUCGUAUUGCGACGUUAGAG